CUCUUCAUUAUGUGGGUAUGAGGUCCUUGGGGUACAAGAUAGGUUGUCUAGGAGGGGAAAACGGGCUUGCCGGUGAAGUUCGAUUGAUUGAAUAAGAGUGGUUUGCGAUUUUUCUGUGAUGUUGAGGUUUUUGUGCGGAUCUUGUUUGUUUAAAUGCUGGACUAGUAUGCGAUGUUGAUGCUUCGAGGUUUCUGUGCAGAUUUCAUUUGUUUAAAUGCUGGACUGGUACGCCGAUUAGUGUUUGGAACUGUAAUUUGGGUUUUCCGUGUGAUUCUUGCUUGUUUAUAUGCUUACCGGUGAAGCCUAUUGUUGGAGUGGUUGCGAUUUGAGCUUUUCGUGAUGUCUUUGUGUCACUCUGUGCAGUUCUUGAGCUACUUCAUUUUGUAAGUUUACUCCUACGGUUGAGUAGGCCUUGAUUGUUUUCCUUCAUGGUGGUUUGUGUUAUUGGGGGUUCGGAUAUUGGAUAUCUUGUGUUGUUCCUCAAGAGGUUAUAGAGGUGAGUCUUCUUGAAGAUCUAUUGCUCUGGAGCUAUGGAACCUGGUAAGGUUUUGGUUACUUGAGUUGUUUUAUUUUCAUGAUCUGGAAUGGAGGCACAUAGUUGGAAGGUGGUUUUAGUUGUGGGUAUUCCUGAGCUUGGGAUGGAUCUGAAGUUUUAAUUCUUCAUGUCAUGUUUUUUUGAGUUUCGACGGAUUGGAUGUGGUUUGAUCGGGAUCACGAUGUGGUAAUUGGUUCUUUAUGAUGAUUUUAAAGAUUUGAAUAGAAUGUAGUUAUUUUCUCUUGUAGUUUUCAAGCAGGAAUGUGUUCUGAGCCUAAUUAGGAAAUGAAGGGAGCUAACUCAUUAGAUGGAGGUCACGGGCAGUGCUGUUCUUUUGGGUUGGCUUGGGCUUUUGAUUGGUUUCUUGUGGAACAGGUAGCAAGCUAGUGAAUUAGGUGCACUGUUUUUGUGAAGGCUUGCAAUUCCUUUUCUUUUCUGAACAGAUUUGGUAGAUGAUGAAUCGAUUUCAAGGCAGUGCUGUUCUUUUGGGUUGGCUUGGGCUUUUGAUUGGUUUCUUGUGGAACAGAUUUGGUAGAUGAUGAAUCGAUUUCAAGUGAGGACGCCACCUUGGAAAUGACGAAAGGCAUGCGGACGGAGUAGGCGAGGUGGCGAGAUGGAUGCAUGGCACUGUCCGGACGUUUAGGAGUGCAGAGCAUACUGGUUUCCUUGUGAGAGGUUUUACUUUAUUACUUGUAAAGAGGAAUGUUUUGGGAAUUAUUGUCCUUAUUCAUUAGACUCUUGUUUGAGAUAUAGUCAUUUUCAUUGGUUAA